rnacentral:rRNA from 1 species
CGGUAAGGCCUUCGGGGCUACACGAGUGGCGAACGGGUGAGUAACACGUGGGUAACCUGCCCUGUACUCUGGGAUAAGCCCGGGAAACUGGGUCUAAUACCGGAUACGACCACUUGACGCAUGUCUGGUGGUGGAAAGUUCCGGCGAUAUGGGAUGGACCCGCGGCCUAUCAGCUUGUUGGUGGGGUAAUGGCCUACCAAGGCGACGACGGGUAGCCGGCCUGAGAGGGUGACCGGCCACACUGGGACUGAGACACGGUCCAGACUCCUACGGGAGGCAGCAGUGGGGAAUAUUGCACAAUGGGCGAAAGCCUGAUGCAGCGACGCCGCGUGAGGGAUGACGGCCUUCGGGUUGUAAACCUCUUUCAGCAGGGACGAAGCGUGAGUGACGGUACCUGCAGAAGAAGCAUCGGCUAACUACGUGCCAGCAGCCGCGGUAAUACGUAGGGUGCGAGCGUUGUCCGGAAUUAUUGGGCGUAAAGAGCUCGUAGGCGGCUUGUCGCGUCGGCCGUGAAAACUUGGGGCUUAACCCCGAGCCUGCGGUCGAUACGGGCAGACUUGAGUUCGGCAGGGGAGACUGGAAUUCCUGGUGUAGCGGUGAAAUGCGCAGAUAUCAGGAGGAA